CACAGCCGUAGCUAUUAGGGUACAAAACAUAGUAAGAUUUUUUUUUAAACAUGCAAACCACCUAGUAAUCCUGAGACUCUACAUUUUAGUCUCCACUAACAGAAACUACCAUAUACACAGAGAAAGAAUUUUAAGUUUGGCCAGUUGUGAAAUCUAUAAUUAAGAUUAUACGGACACUUUCUUUAAUGAUGCUUUAUCACAUGCUCAGAACUUUCUAUCAUCUUCUCCUUUUCAAUUAAAAUGUUCCUUUCUUGAUUUUAACCCAAAGAUGAUCUUUUUUCAUUUAAAGAGGAUGGAGGAAGUGUGAGCAAAACCCAUUCACUCAUUUUGAAUUAUUCAAAGCUAUUCGCAGAUGAUUCCAACGGACUUCAAUGGGAGUUGUGUGGAAAAAGGUAAAUGGCACUGCAAAUAAGCCCCUUUGGGGGUGGAGAAGCUAUCUGAAAGAAACUGGAACAAAGGACAGUAACCACAGGGAUGUGAAUGAUUGCUGGACCCAGACUAGAAGGCGGCCAGUCUGUAAAAGAAGCUAAUUGGAACAUCUCUGAGGGUGUGAUUUCUUCUGUAAUCAUUUUCCUAUACUAUUAGGCUUAGACUUGUGUGUUUUAUUUUAUUUUGCUUGGUAAUUCACUUUGUUCUGUCUGUUAUUACUUGCAACCACUUAAAUCCUACUUUUUGUAUUUAA